UACAGAGGUCUCAAGCGUUGUUCGGAUUCAUUGGGCGUAAGGGUGCGUAGGUGGCGCUGUAAGUCGGGUGUGAAAAUUUCGGAGCUUAACUCCGAACUGCAUUCGAUACUGCGGUGCUUUGAGGACUGGAUGAGGAGACUGGAAUUCAUGGUGUAGCAGUGAAAAUGCGUAGAGAUCAUGAGGAAGACCAGUGGCGAAGGCGGGUCUCGUGGACAGUUCCUGACACUGAGGCACGAAGGCCAGGGGGAGCAAACGGGAUUGAGAUACCCCGG
rnacentral:rRNA from 1 species